CCUACGGGAGGCAGCAGUGAGGAAUUUUCCGCAAUGGGCGAAAGCCUGACGGAGCAAUACCGCGUGAGGGAUGAAGGAUUUUGGUCUGUAAACCUCUUUUCUCAAGAAAGAAGUUCUGACGGUACUUGAGGAAUAAGCAUCGGCUAACUCCGUGCCAGCAGCCGCGGUAAUACGGGGGAUGCAAGCGUUAUCCGGAAUGAUUGGGCGUAAAGCGCCUGUAGGUUGUUUAUUAAGUCCGUUGUUAAAGCCUAGGGCUCAACCCUAGAAAAGCAAUGGAAACUAGUAGACUAGAGUAUGGCAGGGGUAGAGGGAAUUUCUAGUGUAGCGGUGAAAUGCGUAGAUAUUAGAAAGAACACCGGUGGCGAAAGCGCUCUACUGGACCAUUACUGACACUCAGAGGCGAAAGCUAGGGUAGCAAAAGGGAUUAGAUACCCCUGUAGUCCUAGCCGUAAACGAUGGAUACUAGAUGUUGUGACAUUAUGUACAGUAUCGUAGCUAACGCGUUAAGUAUCCCGCCUGGGGAGUACGCUCGCAGGGUGAAACUUAAGGAAUUGACGG
rnacentral:rRNA from 1 species